rnacentral:rRNA from 1 species
CUCGGAUCAGGGUAGGAAUUUCCCCGAAUU